CCGGACGGUCACUCUGGGGCCGACUAACUUAAUAGUUUAAUGGCCGUACAGCGUGGCAGGUGUCCAAUAUGGCUGCCGUUGACUGCAUCUCCAUUACGUAUCAGCGUUGAAGGGCUGCCACAGACUCCCAUUCGGGAAGAAGAAUAAUAAUAAGAAAACUAACAAUAACGACAUGGACUACAGCCCCUUCGGGGCUUGGCCCCUAAAUAAAUAAAUUAAAAAAAACAUUGAAAGGGAAAUCUCAUAUUAUGGAAUUUACAUACAGGUCAAGGACGUGACUAAUUGUGUUAUUUUUUUAUUAUGCUUGUAAUACUCACACUGAAUAAACACAUUGAAUUUGCAGUUCUA